rnacentral:rRNA from 1 species
GACGAACGCUGGCGGCGUGCUUAACACAUGCAAGUCGAACGGAAAGGCCCUGCUUUUGUGGGGUGCUCGAUUGGCGAACGGGUGAGUAACACGUGAGUAACCUGCCCUUGACUUUGUGAUAACUUCAGGAAACUGGGGCUAAUACCCGAUAGGAUCUCCUGCUGCAUGUUGUGGGUUGGAAAGUUUCGGCGGUUGGGGAUGGACUCGCGGCUUAUCAGCUUGUUUGUGGGGUAGUGGCUUACCAAGGCUUUGACGGGUAGCCGGCCUGAGAGGGUGACCGGCGACAUUGGGACUGAGAUACGGAACAGAAGGCUACGGGAGGCAGCAGUGGGGAAUAGUGCACAAUGGGCGGAAGCCUGAUGCAGCAACGCCGCGUGCGGGAUGACGGCCUUCGGGUUGUAAACCGCUUUAGCCUGUGACGAAGCGUGAGUGACGGUAAUGGGUAAAGAAGCACCGGCUAACUACGUG